CAAAGAGAAGUGUGUCCCGCUGAUGAUUUCCAGCAAACAAAGUAUCACGGGCUCAAUUUGUUCAAAGUGAAAAAUGAGCAUCACUUUGACAAAUUUGCUGGUGCCCUUGGAGACAUUGAAAUUUUCCUGGUGAAAAAAGAAGUGGCCAGUGUUACUUUGGCCCUUAUAAAUGUAGACACGAGGGAAUACCUCGAAAAGUGGACAUUCGAGAUUACCUACGAAGACGAGUCAGAUGGUGGUUCCCAGGACCACAGCUCCUCCUCUUGUGGGACAAAAGAUACCGAGACCAUCCAAAGAGAGAUACGUGCUGUGAUAAAACAAAUUUUGGGCGUGGUAACCAUAUUGCCUUUUUUGGACGAAAACAAAAUUGUUUAUUCCAUCCAGGCUACACCAAGACCAGGAGUACCUUUGUGGGACGGCUGGUAUCCGAUUACAGAGGACACCAGCAUUAAAAAUCAGGAAGAUAUAAAGCUUAAAGACUUUUCGACAUCCAUUCAUGGAGUCCAUACUAUUGUGCAAUAUAAAAAAGCCUAAGAGUGCCAAUUAGUUAACCUUCAGGUGGCAUAGAAAAGUUUUUUCUUUUUUCUGUAAACAAAAUUUAAUCGCUUAUGAAAAGUAAUGUUGAAAUACGGAAGAAUACAAACAUUUUUUUUUAUUUUCAUCGGGUCGGUCCUAUGGAUUAUCGGAAAACUUGAUACGAAUUUUUUGUUUGUUUUUUUUUUACAUCAACAAUAAAUAACCGAUAAAGAUCGAGCUCUUCAAAGUUAAAAGUGACGUCGCUUUGUAAUAAAAUUAUUUCAUUUGAAAUGCAUGUACAUACACUGUUGUGACAUAUCACUUUGUUCUUCGAGUAACUGUUUUUUGUUGAUGUAAAAAAAUAAAAUUAUACGUUGCCAACAAUUUCGAUAAUCUACCUGACUGAUCUUAUGGAUUUUUCAGAUUCUUCACAAUUGAAGUUCUUACUUUCACUUUAUCGCAUAGUUUUUUUAUUAUUAUUAUUAUUAUUAUUAUUAUUAUUUUUAUUUUCAAAGUAUGCUAUAAGCCAUACUUGCAUUUUCUACGUACAAUGAAAUUUAUUUAAUUAUCUACCUUACUUAUCAUGUUAUAAAGGAGCGAGACGUUUACAGUGGAGUUUUCAUUUGAUUACUUGCUUCAAUUAUUUGCAAAAAAAUACAUGUUUGUACAAAUACAAUUGUUUGAUAAGCUGUGCUACACAUAAGACUCACGUACAACUGAAGUUGAAAUUCGAGUUUAGCGCAAUAAUGUAUUUAUUGUAAUGUAUAAAUAAUAAUUAAAUGUAAAUUGUGCAAUCACUGUACUCCCAAGA